GUCUAAGUUCCUUGGAACAGGACGUCAUAGAGGGUGAGAAUCCCGUAUGUGACAGGAAAUGGCACCCUAUGUAAAUCUCCUUCGACGAGUCGAGUUGUUUGGGAAUGCAGCUCUAAAUGGGAGGUAAAUUUCUUCUAAAGCUAAAUAUUGGCGAGAGACCGAUAGCGCACAAGUAGAGUGAUCGAAAGAUGAAAAGCACUUUGGAAAGAGAGUUAAAAAGCACGUGAAAUUGUUGAAAGGGAAGCGCUUGCAAUCAGACUUGUUUAAACUGUUCGGCCGGUCUUCUGACCGGUUUACUCAGUUUGGACAGGCCAGCAUCAGUUUCGGCGGCCGGAUAAAGGCUCUGGGAAUGUGGCCUCCACUUCGGUGGAGGUGUUAUAGCCCAGGGUGUAAUACGGCCAGCCGGGACUGAGGUCCGCGCUUCGGCUAGGAUGCUGGCGUAAUGGUUGUAAGCGACCCGUCUUGAAACACGGACCAAGGAGUCUAACAUCUAUGCGAGUGUUCGGGUGUCAAACCCCUGCGCGUAAUGAAAGUGAACGGAGGUGGGAACCCGCAAGGGUGCACCAUCGACCGAUCCUGAUGUCUUCGGAUGGAUUUGAGUAAGAGCAUAGCUGUUGGGACCCGAAAGAUGGUGAACUAUGCCUGAAUAGGGUGAAGCCAGAGGAAACUCUGGUGGAGGCUCGCAGCGGUUCUGACGUGCAAAUCGAUCGUCAAAUUUGGGUAUAGGGGCGAAAGACUAAUCGAACCAUCUAGUAGCUGGUCUGCGA
rnacentral:rRNA from 1 species